rnacentral:rRNA from 1 species
AACGAACGCUGGCGGCAUGCCUAACACAUGCAAGUCGAACGAGACCUUCGGGUCUAGUGGCGCACGGGUGCGUAACGCGUGGGAACCUGCCCUUAGGUUCGGAAUAACUCCCCGAAAGGGGUGCUAAUACCGGAUAAUGUCUUCGGACCAAAGAUUUAUCGCCUUUGGAUGGGCCCGCGUUGGAUUAGCUAGUUGGUAGGGUAAAAGCCUACCACGGCGACGAUCCAUAGCUGGUCUGAGGGGAUGAUCAGCCACACUGGGACUGAGACACGGCCCAGACUCCUACGGGAGGCAGCAGUGGGGAAUAGUGGACAAUGGGCGAAAGCCUGAUCCAGCAAUGCCGCGUGAGUGAUGAAGGCCUUAGGGUUGUAAAGCUCUUUUAACCGGGAUGAUAAUGACAGUACCGGGAGAAUAAGCUCCGGCUAACUCCGUG